rnacentral:rRNA from 1 species
GUUGGCGGCCAUAGCGGCGGGGAAACACCCGGUCUCGUCCGAUCCCGGAAGUUAAGCCCGCCAGCGAUCUUGGUUGUACUGCCGUGCGCGAGCCGGCGGGAAGCUAGAUACGCUGCCAACC